UCGUUCAUCAUCAAAAAUUUCAACUUCAUCUUCUCUCCCUCAUCACAUUUUCCCCUGUCCCUUUGUAAUCAUGAUUCUUCUUUCGCCAUCAUUACCUUCUAAAGGAGUCUCUCUCUCUCUCUCUAAAAGAAUAAUGCAAACACAAAGUUUCAUCUAUAUAACACGUCUAUAUCCCUCCCCCAACUCAACAAAAACGUCUCACUACUUCUUCUCUCUAUCUCUUUCUCUUCUUCAAGCUCCAAAGAUGUGUUUGAGUACUUCAGAACCAUUUCCAGACACACCCACGAGAUUAGUUUUGUACCUCAAAACACAAAGUCACGUUCGUAUCCCUCGUCUCUCCAGGAGGAGAAGGAUGUGGCGGGAAGAAAAGGAGAUGGAGAUGAUCAACCUAAAGCUAUACAUGGAGAAUCAAAACAUCAUAAGAGAGAACGAGAAACUUAGGAAGAAAGCUCUUCUUCUUCACCAAGAAAACAAAGCUCUCUUCUCUUUGCUUCAGACCAAAAAACUCUGCUCUGUUCCAUAAACAAAACCUUAGACCAUCCACCAGUCACUAAGAUCAUAUUCUUCUUUCUUUACUGAAUUAGUAGUAAUAAUAAGAUCUGAGGGCUCCAAGAAAAAGAAACCAUAAAAUUUUGGUUAUUUAAAGUAGUCUUCUAUCUAAGUGGGGUUUAUAAUCAAGGGUUUAGUUAUUUAUUACUGGGUAUACGUCUAAUUUUUAUGUUCUUUUUUUAGUUUAAUCUCUCAUGUAAUCUCUCUUUGUCCCUGAGUUCUUUUGUUAAUGGUUAAGUUCAUCUAUUUUUUUUUCCCUA